CAAUGAACAUUGUAACUGUUAUUGUUGUCUCUUCUUUCAGACUGCAAUGAGUGAGGAUAUAGACGAACGACAUCCGUCUGUGCAUUGAUCAGGCAGCUUCUUAAAGUCCUAGUCCGGGGGGAUAACAACAGGUCUCAUGUGACAGCACAAGGUAAAUACCAAUUCUUGUGACACAGUAUGGAAAAUGUACAA
rnacentral:misc_RNA from 1 species